AACGAACGCUGGCGGCAGGCUUAACACAUGCAAGUCGAACGCAUCCUUCGGGGUGAGUGGCAGACGGGUGAGUAACGCGUGGGAACGUGCCCUUCAGUUCGGGAUAACCCAGGGAAACUUGGGCUAAUACCGGAUACGUGCGAGAGCAGAAAGAUUUAUCGCUGAAGGAUCGGGCCGCGUCUGAGUAGCUAGUGGGUGGGGUAAUGGCCGACCAAGGCGACGAUCAGUAGCUGGUCUGCGAGGAUGAUCAGUACCAUUGGGACUGAGAAACGGCCCAAACUACUACGUGAGGCAGCAGUGGGGAAUAUUGGACAAUGGGCGAAAGCCUGAUCCAGCCAUGCCGCGUGAGUGAUGAAGGCCUUAGGGUUGUAAAGCUCUUUCGUCCGGGACGAUAAUGACGGUACCGGAAGAAGAAGCCCCGGCUAACUUCGUGCCAGCAGCCGCGGUAA
rnacentral:rRNA from 1 species